CCAAAAGAGUGAAACUCUUCAGGCCAUAGAUUUAUCGUACAGUUUUCUAUCAGGAAACUUGCCUUCUUGGGUAAACUCAGGCUUACAACUGAACCUUGUGGCCAACAACUUCACACUUAACAGCACAAGCAUAAGGCGUUUACCGGGAUUAGAAUGCCUUCAAAGA